GACGAACGCUGGCGGCGUGCUUAACACAUGCAAGUCGAACGGAAAGGCCCUGCUUUUGUGGGGUGCUCGAGUGGCGAACGGGUGAGUAACACGUGAGUAACCUGCCCUUGACUUUGGGAUAACUUCAGGAAACUGGGGCUAAUACCGGAUAGGAGCUCCUGCUGCAUGGGGGGGGUGGGAAAGUUUCGGCGGUUGGGGAUGGACUCGCGGUUUAUCAGCGUGUUGGUGGGGUAGUGGCUUACCAAGGCUUUGACGGGUAGCCGGCCUGGGAGGGUGACCGGCCACAUUGGGACUGAGAUACGGCCCAGACUCCUACGGGAGGCAGCAGUGGGGAAUAUUGCACAAUGGGCGGAAGCCUGAUGCAGCAACGCCGCGUGCGGGAUGACGGCCUUCGGGUUGUAAACCGCUUUCGCCUGUGACGAAGCGUGAGUGACGGUAAUGGGUAAAGAAGCACCGGCUAACUACGUG
rnacentral:rRNA from 1 species